rnacentral:lncRNA from 1 species
AGACUAUAAGUUUCUCCCAAUUCAACAUUCCAUCUAUUGUAGGGGCGUCACCUCCCCCUACAACCACCAUACACCGUCGCAAAACCACCUCAUCAGGGAGGUUAUCUCCGGUCCUCGCGGUGGCUUCACCCACAACUUCUCCAUCACGCCACCAGGUCACUCACUCAAUGCCACCAGAAAAAUUGGAAAUCUUCAAGUCAUUAGAACCUUGGGUUUCCGAAAACAUCCUUCCACUCCGCAAGCCCGUAGAGAAAUGUUGGCAGCCCAUUGAGUUUCUCCCUGACCCAUCUCAAGGGCCCGAACAAUUCACCGAAGAGGUUCGGGCCCUAAGGCAAAGAGCUUCAGGGCUUUCGAAUGAGUACUUUGCUAUGCUUGUGGGUAAUAUGCUAACUGAGGAUGCUUUGCCUACCUAUCAGACCUUGUUUAAUACGUUAGAUGGAGUACACGAUGAGACUGGAUGCAGUCCAUGUCCAUGGGUAAUUUGGAGCCGGGCAUGGUCAGCUGAGGAGAAUCGACAUGGCGAUCUGCUACGAACUUAUCUUUAUCUUUCAGGGAGAGUGGACAUGUUGAUGAUUGACAAGACACUACAAUACUUGAUUGGAGCUGGAAUGGUAAGGCUUACUCUGAAAUAACAUUAUGUAAUCAACGGUUGCAUGCAACUUCUUUUGUCAUGUGUUUUUGAAUCUAUGGAUAUGUUAGGACAUCGGACUAGAGAACAAUCCGUAUUUGGGCGUUGUAUACACAUCAUUUCAAGAGCGAGCCAUGUGUUCGUCACAUGGAAAUAUGGUUAGGCUAGCUAUAGAAGGUGGAGAUCCCAUGCUAGCACGUAUGUGUGGAACCAUUGCCACGGAUGAGAAGCGGCACGAACAUGCCUACACAAGAAUUAUUGAGAAGCUUCUAGAAGUGGACCCAAAUGCGACUAUGCUAGCUAUUGCAGACAUGAUGAAGAAGAAGAUCAUAAUGUCGAUGCAUCUCAUGUAUGAUGGGAAAGAUCCAAAUAUAUUUGAGAACUUUUCUACCAUUAUUGAAAGGCAAGGAGUUUACACAUCUCGUUACUAUGCUGAAAUAUUAGAAUUUUUUAUAACACGAUGGGAAUUGGAAAAACUUGAAGGCUUGAUUGACGAGGCAAGGCGUGCACAUGAUUAUGUGUGUGGACUUCCACCUAGGGUUAGGAAGUUGGAAAGUAGAGCCAAGAAAAUAGAGCCACGUCAAGUGAAGUUUAGUUGGAUCUUUAACAAACAAGUGACUGCUUAGAUGAAUUGAUUCGUUAGGCGAACUCAAGAUUUGAAGACUUUGGAUGCACCAAUAUUAUCUUAAUUUAAGCAUUAGUGAAACUUUCAAAUUAAGGUCAAGGUGGGUUUGUUCUACUGAAUGAUCAUGGGUUUCAAUCUCUUAUCUAGCAAUUUAAUGUUAUAAAUAAGCCCCUUUAAAUUCAAAAUUUAUAAUAAAAACAGUAAAAUAUAGUUCUUGGGCUCAAACCUAGGUCACGAGAGCGGAUGCACUAGCCUUUACCAACAGUACCAAGUGUCAUCCUAUUCUUUCCAUGGGGGCACUGUUACUUAUAUUUAGUUUAUGUCAGUUUCUCAAGAUAAAUAUAUAUACAUUUUUUUCAAAAUUAACGGGUGCACAGGCAUUCCCACCUAUACAAGUGGGUCUGCCUCUGGUCAUAAGGAUGUAAAACAAAAGCUUAAUUAUCCUUUCACUGAUAAUCUUUUUCGCUAAGCUGGUAAAAUAAACUUAUCUUGAGACAUAUAUACUUCUUAUUAAAUCCACAUAGGGUUACCAUUAAAUAUACUUCUUGUUUGAAUAAUCUUGUCAAAAAAAAUUAAAAGUACCUAUAUAUUUGGGAGAAACUACGUACUUUUGUCAGUUUUUGCUUAAAAGAUGGAAAUUAAAACAAUUUUUGCAACCACUCAAAUCACUCACUUUCACCUAUAAUCACUACAAGAAAAAUGAAACUAGCUACAAAGUAAAACUAGUACGUUGUUGUAGCUAAUUAAUUAACUAUGGCGAGCAGAACAUAUAUGCGUGCAAAUGAAGAGGCAAAGACACUACGUUUUAAUCAUCUAAUACAUUUUUCAUUUUUGUUAUGGAUACAGUUAGCAGACAAACUAGCUAGGAACUAUUUUUUUCUGGAACGGUUUUGAAUUUUACUACUCCCUCCGUCCCAUUUUAUGUGAGGUUGUUUGGCUCGGCACGGAGUUUAAGAAAGAAAGGAAGACUUUUAAAACUUAUGGGCCAAAAUAAAUAAUAGAAAUUUGUGUGACUAUAAAUUAUUUCAUUAAGGAUAAAAUAGACAUUUCAUAGUUAAAUUAUUACUUAAUAUAGAAAUAUGUCAUUCUUUUUGAGACUAACUAAAAACGAAAGUAAGUCACAUAGAUUUGGAUUAUAUAUGUUCGUCCUUCGCAUGAACACUAAAAUGUGUAAGGCUUGGUUCAUUUUGUUUUAAUUAAUUCGUGAGUUUAUUCUGAAUUUUACAAUCUUGAUUAAGGAUCAGAUACGCAUCAAUCCGAUCUAUUGUAUGAAUUAAUAUGAAUGGAACUAUCUAUCUCUCAGAUGGAUCGGGAAACUAAUGAGGAACUAAGGGAUUAAGAGUUUAAUUCCUAGGUUGCAAGAGGUUAUAAUCUAAAAUUUUGCUCAGCAAUUUAGUGAAGUUGUUGAAGAAAUACUAUGUGAGAAAACGUGAUUUUUUCUUUCUUGAACAAGGAAGUUUCCAUAAAUAUUAGUAUGUGUCUUGAUGUUUUGUAGUCUUUUUUCUUAUGUUCUUACACCGUUCUCAGUUAAAGACCUGAUUCCUUGACUCGUGGUGGAUUCUCACAAGCCAUUAAGAGAAAAUGAUAUUUCAAUUGUUGAUUUUUCAGAUGGUCACUCAACUUAUAUGUAUUAUAUCAUAAAGUCAUUUUCUUUAUUGAGAAAAUGAAAAUCAAGAAAAAAUGUGACUUUAUGAGAUAAUAACAAUUAAUAGAAUGAUUAUCUGAAAAAUUAACUCUUCGAAUUCUAAUAGGUGUGCUUGAUCAAUCACUACAACAAAAACAUUUUUUAGCAGCAAUAAAUAGACAGAUCAAUAAAGGGUGCUAAAGUCUUUACCGGCAUUAGUUAAGUGUCAUUAGAUCCAAUGUCGCUAAAGACUUUAGGAACAUAUACAAAUAGUGCUAAUUGCUGUUAAAAAUACAUAUUUAGCGGCAAUUAAGCUAUUAUUGUUAAUUAAUUGUGCUAAAGAUAUUUUUUAGUGUAGAGAAUAAAAAUAGAUUAUAUUGAUUGUGGACCAUUUUAUUUACGACCCUAUCAAUUGGCUUCAUUUGUCAAAGGAGGCAGUUAACAUUAAUGUCAUAGCUUGAAAAUUAUAUAGAGGAAACAUGUGGGUUAAGCGUAAACUACGUCAAAAUUUAAUGUAUUCUCUUUCAAGUAGUAGUAAUUCCCCAAGCUAAAUGAAGGAGUCUAAACACUCUACUUCUUAAAGUUACGUGCUGAAAAGAUAAGAGGAUAAAGAGAAGGCAAGAAAAAAUAAAAAGGAAACACAGAAAAUAGUUUUGUCUAACUCAAUUCAUUUAUAUUUACUUCAAGGGUUAAAGGGUUAAAAACACAUAAAAUUAUUUCACUUUAUUGAAUUUUCUACCUGAAUUAUUAAAAGUAUGAGUUUUCUACUUCAACUAUCAUCACUGGUUAGCGAAACACACCUAGACGUUGACUAGAUCAAAUGUUUGUCUAAAAAUACUUCUAGGAACGUUUGCCCAUAAAAUCUUCAUCCACAGUCAUAUAUAAUAUCUUUAUUUUCUGACAAAUUAUUUUUAAAAUAUAUUUUUAAUUGACUUCUUUAAAAUUCUAAACUUUCCCCUUUCAAGUCGGAAAUAUCAAUUCCAUGACAAAGACGAGACCACGUCUAAGAAAGUGGAGAAUAUGGGGAUAGUUUUAACCUUUUAACCUAAUAUUAAUUUAUUUAGAUUUGACAUGCUGAAAUUAUUUCUUCGCAUUGACUUUUUAAAAAUCAAUUAAUGGGUAUAUUUUUUUAAAUAAACUUAAUUUGUUAGAUAUGUUCUGAAUAAGUCUAUUGAAAAAUUAUUUAUUCAUAAAAUGCAUUAAUUGUUGAUAAUUUUUAUACCAAAUAUUCAUUGAUGAAGCUUCAACAAUGAUAAUGGUGAAGAAGGUAUAGUUGUAUAGCUAAAUAAGAAGAAAGAAAGAGAAGAAAAAAGGGAAGUUAAAAAAAAUAGGCAACUCACUCUCUCAAAGAGAGUGAAAUACAGAGUCCGAAGCCGAAGGGGUAAGAAAAAUUCCAAAAGGGCAACAAAAUUAAUUAUAGAACCAAAAUGGCAACUUUCUAACGGAGAAUUUGGCGACUAAAAUCAGGGCAGCCGCCGCAAGGCACGGAAUUUCGUGCGCCUUGCGAGGCGCAGCCAUCAUGCGCCUUGCAAGGCACAUGAAAUUUAGCGCCUUGCGGUGGUUUUUUUUUUUUAAUUAAAAUAUUUCAUUCCAUGUAUUAAGUAUAUUAUUGGGCUUAAUUUUAGGAUAUUCGUAAAUCUUUUAAUUGUAGAUAGAGUUUAAAUAUAUUAUUAUUAUAUUAUUAUUAUUAUUAUUAUUGUUAAUAUUUAAUUUUUACAUCUUUAUAUUUUAAAAUUAAUUAAUUUCUAAAUUCAACAUUUAAAUAAUUCUAUAUAAAUAAAAUUUAAAUAUAUAUAUAUAAAUUACAAACAAAUAAAAUUUGAAAAAAAUAAUAUAUGUAAAAAUGACAAACAAACAAAAUUUGAAAAAAAAUAAAAUAAAAAAAUAAUAAUCCAAAGUUAACAAGGCGCAGGGCACCUUAGCCUUGUAAAGGCGCAGGCAUUUCAUUCCUUAAAUUUCCCGUGAAACUUUUACAGUGUUGAAUCAAAUCAACAUUGUAAAAGUUUCAUGUGGGUAUAUGUUUCAACAAAAAUAAAAAAAAAUUCAAUUAAUAGUAAAAAAUUAUUAGAUAAAGUGAAUUUAGAAAUUAAUUAUUUUUAAAAUAUAAAGAUCUAAAAAUUAAAAAUUAAAUAUUAACAAUAAUAAUAAUUAUUAUAAUAUAUUUAAACUCUAUCUUUAAUUAAAAGGUUUUACGAAUAUCCUAAAAUUAAGUCCAAUAAUAUACUUUUAAAAAAUAAUCAAUUUUUAUAAAACUAUUUUAAGAUUUUUACUUAUUAAUUUAAAUUCAUACAAUAUUUGAAUGAAAUAAAAACUCCAAAAUGAGGGCCAACCUUAACAUGGAAUGAAACUGAACAAUUUUUUUUUUGGGAUAUCAAUUCCACGACAAAGACGAGACCACGUCUAAGAAGGUGGUGAAUACAUGGUGAUAGUUUUAACCUUUCACCUAAUAUUAAUUUAUUUUGAUUUGACAUGGUGAAAUUAUUUCUUCACAUUAAGUGUCACGUGGCAGGAUUUUUAAACAAAAGAGAGAGUGUACACACAUUAUCUGAAAUUAGUCUAGGUGUGUUUCGCUAACUAUUGACUGAUAGUUCAGGUAGGAAACUGACGCUCUCAAUAGUUCUGAUAUAUUUAGGUAUAUUUUUGACCCUUACCUCUUACUUGAAAUUUAAUUUCCUUAAACCCAAGCGCAGCAUUCUUUUAUGUGAUUCCCCCUUACAGCUUGUUUGGAUGAUCCUUACAUAAUGUUUGUUUUGUUGUCUUAUUGUUAUUUUAAAUAUAAUAUUUAUUUUGUUUGUUACUUAAAUUUUAUUAUAUCAUUAAUUCAUUGUUCUAUAAUGACAAAAAAAUUAUUUAUAUAUAGCGAUUGAUUUGAUUUGAUCGCUUUGUUGAUUUAUUUAUUUUCCUAUGUUACCCUUACUUAUUAUUUAAUAAUAUUAAUUUACACUUUAUUCUUUCAUUAAUAAUAAUUCUACCUCGUAUUGAUUUGUUUUCUUUAAAAUUUUAUAAGCUUAUUCUUUAAAUUGUUGGUGCAUGAUAUUAUAAAAUGACAACGGAAUUCAUACACACUACUCAAACAUUAAUAAUUAAAACAUGAAUCCCUACACCAAUUUCAACAAAUCCAAAUGUAAAAUCAAAGAACAAAAUGCUAAUCCUUUUCAGGCUCAGAUUGCGGACGAAUGUUUUAUUUUCAAAUCAGCUUAAAAAAUGGUCAUAAGUUGAUAAAACAUCUAAAAGACUUCAUCCAUUUUCUAAGAUUUUCCUACUAUUGUCAUGAUCCAAAGAGGUCAUGAUGGUACACACCCUGUAAAUUCAAUUUGGUGUGUAAGUCGAAUGAUAUAACACAUACAAGACUUCCAAAAAAAAGUCAGGCCAAAACUAAAGAGAAAAGAAAUAAAAUAAAGAUGUUCUCAAAAGCUGGUAUCAUAAGCACAAAGAGCAUCUAAUAUACUCUUAGUAUCUAAAACAUCUAAAGACUUCGAAGAGAAAUUAGAGACAAUGAAAGCUAGAGACCAAUGACGAUCCGAAAAGCAGGAUCUCACCACAACUCCGAAUGGAAUCACCGACUAGAUUUGAUCAAUCACCACGAGGAGUCAUCCAAUAAGUCUUCUUGAGGCAGUGAGGAGUCAUCCGAAAGUCGGUACGAUCCUAUCCUAUGCUGGCUACGUAGUUUUGUGGAGUUUCGAGUUAAAAAUAGACUCUUACCCAAAUUGAUGAUCGAUACUACUCCCAGGAUGAUCAAUAUCAAUAUGCUCAAUAGUUCUCUGAGAGAACUUACUUUACAUUACUUUUACUUUCCUUUACUAAAGUACUUUUCAGAAAAUCAAUUAUACUAUUUCUCUUUCUGAACUAUCAAAUAGUACAUAUGAAACCACUCGUAUCCUUUCUUUAAAAAUUCAUUUCAAAACAUGCAUUUAAAAUGUAACUUUUGGACUCGCCUUUCAAGUCCAAAAUCGAUAUAUCAGAAAUCUUAUAUAUUAAUCUUUAUAUAAAAAAAAAGGUUCAUGUGAUACAAAGCAUGAACAGAAAUUUAAAAUUCAAUAUGCAUAAUAGAAAUUAAAAUCUCAACGGUUAAGGAAUUGGAACUCAGAAUAAGAAACACAAUUGAAUUUGGAUUUCAAAAAAAAUUGCGGAUAUAAUUCUAUACAUAACGUUUCACUGACUGAAUUAAGAUGUAGGGCGUGCGAACGAACUAAUCCAUCACUAUGAGUAGCCUUACAUAUCUGGAAGAACAAAGUACUUGAAGAAGUUUCAAGAAGAACUUAAUUGGAAGCCUUAAAUGCCUAGAUUUUGUCUUUCUUGCGGUUUUCUUUCUAUGUAGGGGAGUUGAGAGCAUAGGAUUAAAAGAAAAUUGAUUACUUGAUGGAAUAUAUUCCCCUAAUUGAAGUUAAAAUAUCAUGGUUUGGGCUUAGAAAAUAUGGGAAAAGACAAAAGAAACCCCACUUAAAAAUAUGUUAAAAACCUUCCACGGGGCCAUCUAUGGUUCAUGGUUUGAUCUACGGACUGUAGAUCCCAUCCCUGAAAUUCAUAUAGAAGUUUUACGACUCAGAAGUUCAUUCUACGUGUGCAAAUUACAACCUGUAGAAGUUCGUAUGACCCGUAGAUGGGUCCGUAUAAAUUGGACCCAAAAAUUUGACUUUCAAUACUUUUUCCACAAGUCAUCAGUAUGGGUCAUAGCCUUUUCUACAACUCGUGGAAGUGAUUCUUAGGUCACUGACUCAGAAAACUUUGUUGUAGUAGUCUCUGGUAAAACAAUCAUAACUUUUUUUACUCUGAACUCAAAAUAAGGCUCGGGUCGUAGAGAAAUGAUGGCAUCCCACUGAGUUUCUUCCUGACCCAUCUCAAGGGGUAAUGAUUGUAUAUGUAUAUCGGUUAGAUAAUUAUAUAUAUGUAACUAUCGUAUAUAUGUAUCAAUGAUUGUGUUUGUAUAUCUGCAUACAAUUUGAAUUUGUAUACAAUUGAAUCGAAUUAAAACAUUUGUAUAUCAAAUCUCUCCCUCGCUCUAUACAACACAAAUUAUACAUAAUAUUUUGUAUAAUUUGUGUUUGUAUAAAGUGAGAAAAGAGAACUAGCAGGGGAAGAUUUGUAUUGUAUAAUUAUAAGUGUAUAAGACGAAGAGAUAUGUAUUUGUAUAUGCAGUUUUCUCUUACUUUAUACAAACACCAACACAGUUUAUACAUUUGUGUUUGUAUAAAGUGAGAGAGGCGAGGGAGAGUGGCGAGCGAGAUCAAGGAGAGUGGAAAGCGAGAUUUCUGGGGAGAGAGACGAAUGACAAAGUGUUUGCUACAAAUUAGAAUUAAAUGAAACUGUGGUUAUAACAUUUAUUAAUAGUUUGCUAUUUUAUACAAUUUUCCCAAAUUAAUAGCUAGAAAAGAACUUGUCUUAUCUUAAAUUUUAAGAAGAGAUAGUGUCAAACAUUUAUAAGAUAAAGAAACAAAAGAAAAAGAGAGAAAACUAUGUACAUGAAAAACUAAAGAAAUGAAAAAAGGUUAAUUGAAGCUUGUACUAAAGCAUUAGAGCAUCACAUCCUUAAAAAAAAUCAUAGAAACUAUAAAGUAGCUAAACUUUUUUUUCUGUGUCAUUUAUGAAUUAGGACUUAGGUUAGCUAGUGGCUAAACAAACUAUAUAUCCAUAUAAAUAAGAUUUUCUUGUAAACAAUUUUUGGCCACUCAUCUAAUAACACUCUUUAAUUAAACUUUGUAUUAGUCAUGCAGACAACAAGUUUCUCACAAUUUAACAUUCCGUCGAUCGUACAGGCCUCACCUCCCCCUACAACCACCAUACUCCGUCGCAAAACCACCUCAUCACGAAGGUUAUCUCCGCUCUACGCAGUGGCUUCAUCCACAUCUCGCCACCAGGUUACUCACUCAAUGCCACCAGAAAAAUUGGAAAUUUUUAAGUCAUUAGAAUCUUGGGUCUAAAAAAAUGUCCUCUCACUCCGCAUGCCCGUAGAGAAUUGUUGGCCGCCCAUUGAGUUUCUUCCUGACCAUCUCAAGGGCCCAAACAAUUCGAAGAAGAGGUUCGGGCCCUAAGGCAACGAGUUUUAGGGCUUUCAGAUGAGUACUUUGUUAUGCUUGUGGGUAGAGAUGUCAAAAAGGGCCGACCCAGCCCCACCCAGCCCAAGCCUUGCGGGCCAAGGAAUUUGAAGGGCUGGGGAGCGUCGGCCCUUCAUUUGGUAGGGCCUGAAAAUGAUCAACCUAACCCGACCCUAGAAGGGCCGAGGGAUGGGGCGGGCUAGCCCUUCUUUUAUUCUUUUUUUUUCUUUUUCUUUUUUCUUUUCAAACUCAUAAUUUUAUAACAUCAAGAAAAUGAGAAGAUUUUUAAAUCAAAUAUGACAAAUAAUGGUGUUGUUUCAAUAACACUAGCAAAAAUCUAGUGUAAUUAGCAUGUAUCUCGCAUACCAGAACACUAGCAAAAAUUUAGUGUAAUUAGCAUGUAUCUCGCAUACUGGAUAUGCGAGUGAGAUAAGAGAGUGACAAGCAAGAUGGGAGGGAGGCGAGGGUGCGAGAUUUGUAUAUGUAUCUUAGAUACAUGCGAAUCUACUUGGAUAAAGUGUAUCUAGAACAAAUUAACCUAAUUUUGAGUACAUUUUUCUGAGAUACAUGUAUCUAGGUACGAAGAUUCAUAAUAUUACAACAUAACGUGUAUUUAAAUAAUUAGAUUAUAUACUAAUGAGAUUAUUAUAAAUUACUCUUAAAUAAAAAGUUUUGGCCCAUGGGCCGACCCCGGCCCAGCCCCGAUCAAGCCUCAAGGGACAAAGGCUUAUAUGGGCCGGGCUUAUAAGCCCUAGUUUUAGAUGGGCUUGAGAAAUCUUAUCCCAACCCUACCCCAAUAUCGGGUAGGGUUGGGCCGGCCCCAUGGGCUAAGCCCAUUUUGACGACUCUACUUGUGGGUAAUAUGCUAACUGAGGAUGCUUUGCCUACCUAUCAGACCGCGAUUAAUACGUUUGAUGGAGUAUGCGAUGAGACUGGAUUCAGCCCAUGUCCAUGGGCAAUUUGGACUCGGGCAUGGUCCGCUGAGGAAAAUCGACAUGGUGAUCUGCUACGAACUUAUCUUUAUCUUUCAGGGAGAGUGAAUAUGUUGAUGGUCGAGAAAACAUUACAAUACUCUAUUGGAGCUGGAAUUGUAAGUGUUACUCUGAACAUUAUUAUAAAAUUAUUUAUUUAAGAUAGACCUAUAUACAACAUCAUAUAACCUAAAUAAUGCAAUAAAUAAGUUAAAUGAAACAACCAAAUAUGUUGCACUACUCCUAAAAGAAGUAACGAACAUUAAUUAAAUGUUUAAUUUACUACCCUUUUGUUCCAAAUUAAUAAUCCAUCCGUUCAAUUUUACUUGUCACUUAUUUCUAAGAGAUUAACUUGUGUGCACUGGCUGUGUAAAGUUUUUUACACCAUCAGGUAAGUUAAUCGAUCUCUAUGUUAAUCUCUAUCUCUAAAGAGUUUAAGUUUUGUGUACCGUCAAUGUAUAAGAUUUUCUACACUAUUAGGUAAUUUUUAAGAUAAACAUGGUAACUUAAUUAAGUGAUUAAUAAAAUAUAUUUUUGAAUAUAAUUAUAAUUACGGUGAAAUAUAGUAAAUUAAAAUUGAGUCCUCUUUUCUUCUCUAACCAAAAUUAAUUUUAGUUAUCUUCUUAAUUAACCAAGUUUAUUUGUUUUGCUACAUUUGAAUUUUUUUUCAUCUGAAGUAAUUUUCAAUGCCACAAAUAAUUUCUUAAUUGUCGUUGUUUUUUCUUUUGAAAUUUUGGCAAAGUCAUGAUCCGUACACACAAGAAGAAGAAUUUAAAAAAGUAGCAACUUAUUAUUCUGAUAUGCAAUAUUACGAUAUCCCAAAUAUCUUGAAGAUCAAAAGGUUGAUAACAAUAUAAUCACUAAUACAAAUAUAAUUAUUAUCCCUAAGAAAAUUCACAAACAAGAAAACAUGAUUUUUACUGAAAAUAAAUGAGAGAUCAAUACGACGAAGACGCAAAAACUAAAAAAAUAGAACAAGAAGAUAAAGAGAUAGAACCAAAAAACAUCAGAUUCAGAAAACCAAAUAAACUUGGGUAAUUAAGAAGAUAACUAUAAAUUAAUUUUGGUUAGAGAAGAAAGAGGACUCAACUUUCCUUUGGUAUAUUUUACAGUAAUUAUAAUUGUAUUCAAAAAAAUAUUUUAUUAAUUACUUAGAGCCUGUUUGGCAUUGCUGCUAAAAACUGCUUAUCUUUAGAAGCACUCUUUUAAAUGGCUUUUUAAAAAAAUGCUUUUGAAAAAAAGUAAUUUGGGUUUGGCUAAUUCAUUUGAAAAGUGUUUUUGACAAGCAAAUUGUGUUUGACUAAUCUUUUUUAAAAAGUGCUUUUGAGAGUCAAAUUACAAAAAAUGGUAAGUACCAAUGUACGUUUAAUACUGAGAUUAUUUUAUAGAGAGAAACUAUUUUAAAUAUCUAUUAGAAAUUUUUUAAUGAAAAUAUGCAUAUUCAAAUUUUCAUUCAAUAUUAUACAUAAAUAAAUAAAUAAGGUAAAUAUUAAUAUAAUAUUAACAUGAUGACUUAAAUAUAAUUCAAAAUAUCAAGAAAAAUAAAUUAAAAAUUAUUCCACAAAUUAAACCACUAUAUACAAAAAAUUCACCACAAAAAUAAAUAACAUCCUUCAUAUUUUUAAUCCUACAAAAAUGUUGUUGUUACAUUUAUUUCCGAUUCUGUAAAAUAAGACGUAAAUUAAUAUACAAAAUUUAAAAUAAUAAUAAUAGUAUAUAAACAUAAAAUAAAAAAUUAUUAUAUAUAUAAAAAAAAAAUCGUGUAUGAAACUUAACCAAAUUUAUGAUAUAUGUUAAUUAAUUAAUAAGGAAUAUAUUGAAAAAUACGUAUAUAUGGGAGGGAUAUUUUAGUCUUCAAGAAAAUAUUUUUUUGCUUCUACUUUUUUUAAAGAAGCAGAAAUUUUUAGCUUCUUCCAACAACAGAAAAACUGUUUUCCUUCCAUAAAAGCAGUUUUGAGAAUUUGCCAUACACAAUUUUUUUUUUGAAAAAAAAAAGCUUUUAUCGACAAAAGCACUCUUGGCCUCUAACAAUGCUAAACAGGCUCUUAAUCAAGUUACCAUGUUUAUCUUAAAAACUACCUAAUGGUGUAGAAAAUCUUAUACACUAACAGUGCACAAAACUUAAACUUAUUUCUAAGAUAGAUUUUUAUUUUUACUUGCCACUUUUGACAUAUCAAUAAAAGACAAUAUUUUUUCCCAUGUUUUACCCUCAACAUUAAAUACUUAUUUUAAAGACAUCAUUUAAUAGGGGAUAGUUUAAUAAAAUACCUAUGUCAUUAAUUAUUUUUUUAAUGGUGUGUCAAGUCAAAAUAUGACAAGUAAAAAUAAACGGAGGGAGUAAUGUUUUUAAUUUGGACACACUACUUAAUUAAGUAUAUUUUAUUUUAUUUCUAUGAAAAAACCAUCGCCAAAAGGCUGGGUCUUUGGCUUAAGGGGGUUGGCUUGCCCAUUCAAUCUACUCAAAUCUUGAGAAACUACUCAUUUCUAAAAAUAAAAAGUGCUUUUAUUAACUUAGCUCUAAAUAAGGAGUGUUAAUAAAUUCAAAGACUGCUCAUUCCAAAUUCAUUCGAACAAUGUGAUACGUAGUCUUUGAAUUUGGAAUAUUAAAGUUUGUGCAUUAAAAAUCAUAUAAGAAGCAAUUCCCUACAAUUUUUUGAAAAAUACAUAUGUUAUAAAUAUAAAUUGUCUAUCAUGUUUGCAUCUUAGGACGUCGGAGCAGAGAACAAUCAAUACAUGGGCUUUGUGUACACAUCAUUUCAAGAGCGAGCCACAUUUCUAACGCAUGGUAAUAUGGCUAGGUUAGCUACAGAAGGCGGAGACCCGUGCUAGCGCGUAUAUGUGGAACCAUUGCAGCAGACGAGAAGCGGCAUGAGAAUGCCUGCACAAGAAUUAUAGAGAAGUUGCUGGAAGUGGACCCAAACACGACUAUAAUAGCCGUUGCGUAUAUGAUGAGGAAGAGAAUCACAAUGCCACUGCACCUCAUGUAUGAUGGGCAAGAUCCGAAUAUAUUUAAUCACUUUUCGGCAAUUACCCAAAAGCAGGGGGUUUACACAUCUCGUGAUUAUGCUGAAAUAUUAAAUUUUUUCAUUACAAGAUGGGAAUUGGAAAAGCUUGAAUGCUUGACAACGGGGGAGGCGAGACGUGCACAGGAUUUUGUGUGCAGACUUCCACAUAAGAUUAGGAAGUUUGUAAAUCGAGAUAAGAUAUUAGAGUCACGUCCGGUGAAGUUUAGUUGGGUUUUUAACAAGCAGGUUUGUGUUUAAAUGUAUUGAUUUGUAAUAAAUAUGCAAAAUUAAAACUAGUACAUCCUUAAAUUAUUCGUAGCUAAUUUAACUAACAGGAGUAGAACAUAUAGCGAAUAUGCUUGCAAAUGAAGAGGCAAAGAGACUACUUUUUUAUCAUGUCUAGGAGUGACAAACGAGCGAGUCGAGUUGAAUAUGAGUCAAUCAAAAACGAGUUAAAUAAAAAUAGAUAAAGUACUCGACUCGACUCGACUCACAUUUUAAAUGGGUAAAAACGAAUUACUCAAUGGAUAAAUAUGAGUACUCAUAUUAUAGUAGAGAUCUUGUUAAAAGCUUUAAAAAUAAAAUAUUUUUAAAUUAUUUUUUUUAUCACUCCACCCUCCCUACCCCCCUCCCCCCAUCCCAUAAAAAAUAGUUUGUUUUUUAUAUAUAAAAAAAGAAGAAGUUCUUUUUCACCCAACCCCCUACCAUCCUCCUCCCCAUUCCAAAAAAAAUGAAAAUUAAAUUUUUUACUCACAAUAUCCAUCAAUAAAAAUCACAUUUUCUUUUAUUUAUUUUGCUUGUAGUUAAUUUUAAUUUUCAGCUCUUUCAGAAAUUUGUUGCGAACAGGGAGAUCUCAUUAUAAAAUUUGAACAAUUCUCCUUUCUUUGAGUAGGAUUCAUCUCACCCGAUUUUAAAGCUCCCUGCCCAAAUUAAAUUGCAAAACAAUCAUGGAAACUAUAGAGUAGCUACACAUUUUUUUCUCUGCGUCAUUUAUGAAUUAGGCACAAAUUAUAUAUCCAUCUUUAUAAAUAAGAUUUCCUUGUAAACAAUAUUGGUCACUCUUUAAUUAAACUUUGCAUUAGUCAUGAUGCAGACUAUAAGUUUCUCCCAAUUCAACAUUCCAUCGAUUGUACCGGCGUCACUUCCCCCUACAACCACCAUACACCGUCGCAAAACCACCUCAUCACGGAGAUUAUCUCCAGUCCUCGCGGUGGCUUCACCCACAUCUCGCCAUCUGCAGGUCACUCACUCAAUGCCACCAGAAAAAUUGGAAAUCUUUAAGUCAUUAGAACCUUGGGUUUCUGAAAACGUCCUCCCACUCCGCAAGCCCGUAGAGAAAUGUUGGCAGCCCAUUGAGUUUCUCCCUGACCCAUCUCAAGGG